rnacentral:rRNA from 1 species
AUACGGAGGGUCCAAGCGUUAUCCGGAUUCAUUGGGUUUAAAGGGUCCGCAGGCGGGAAAAUAAGUCAGCGGUGAAAGCCUACAGCUCAACUGUAGAACUGCCAUUGAUACUGUUUUUCUUGAGUAUAGAUGAAGUGGGCGGAAUAUAUCAUGUAGCGGUGAAAUGCAUAGAUAUGAUAUAGAACACCGAUUGCGAAGGCAGCUCACUAAACUAUUACUGACGCUCAGGGACGAAAGCGUGGGGAGCGAACAGUAUUAGAUACCCCAGUAGUCC